GACAGAGGGUGCAAACGUUGUUCGGAAUCACUGGGCUUAAAGCGUGUGUAGGCGGAUCGUUAAGUACCUUGUGAAAUCCCACGGCUCAACCGUGGAACUGCUGGGUAUACUGGCGAUCUUGAGCCACCUAGGGGCGAGCGGAACAAGCGGUGGAGCGGUGAAAUGCGUAGAUAUCGCUUGGAACGCCAACGGUGAAAACAGCUCGCUGGGGGUGUGCUGACGCUGAGACACGAAAGCCAGGGGAGCGAACGGG
rnacentral:rRNA from 1 species